rnacentral:misc_RNA from 1 species
GUCGAAGGUGGGGCUGAUGACUGGGGUGAAGUCGUAACAAGGUAGCCGUACCGGAAGGUGCGGCUGGAUCACCUCCUAACAGGGAGACAAACAACGAUUUUGAUGUCUGAGUUUUUUUAUUCUUAGGCCAAAAUCCUGUCACCUUAGGUCGAUCGGUACCUCAACUUUGAAGCUAAGAGUAUUCAGUAAUGGAUAUCUGCUUAGUGGAGAUUUUUAGUUCCUAAACUUUGUCUAGUUCACAACCCAUUAGGGAUGAGACUCCUGGGCCAUUAGCUCAGGUGGUUAGAGCGCACCCCUGAUAAGGGUGAGGUCCCUGGUUCAAGUCCAGGAUGGCCCAUUCGGUGUAGGGGGUUUAGCUCAGUUGGUAGAGCGCCUGCUUUGCAAGCAGGAUGUCAGGAGUUCGAGUCUCCUAACCUCCACUGACUACCAAAAUCCCCAUCUCCAAAACCUGGAGUAUGAACUCGUUUGGAUUGUGAUUUAGAUGUGUCCGCUAGAUGACCCUAGCUUCUUGUCAUUUUAAGGCAUGGAAAAAAUUCCAUGAUAUUUAAUUGAUAGGAUGCUGGGCUCGAUUCAAUGUAUUGAGAGAUCAAUGCAUUGUUUUGAUGUCUGGUCGAACCUUGACAACUGCAUAGUAAGUCUGGAAAGAAUAAAGCAUCUUUAUGGAUGCAUCAUUCUUGAGUGUUAAUUCACGAUGGGAUGGUGUUAAUUCUAAAGCAAGAGCCGAGACUCCAGCAUGUUCUUUCAAAUGUGUCGAGCAUUUGAGAGUUUGAUUUUAAUUUCUAUUUGUAGAAGUUAGAAGAAUCUGUUUCAACGACAGCAAGCGUGUUGGAGAUACAUUGGUCAAGCUACAAAGGGCUCACGGC